AAACACCUAUUGGCUCAUAGUUUUCUUACUGCUUCAUUUUUUUUGGUCAGAAGGUGAUUUGUGUGUACGGCCUAAGAUUCAGGUUGUUUACAUUUUUUCUUUAUGGGUUCUCAUGGAACAGAUCUUACUGUUUACACAGAUGCACUUGUUUUUCAAUCCAAGAAGAGGUGGAUUCCAGUGGGAAAGCUGAGAGAAGAAAACAAAGCCUAAAAAGGCAAAUGAGCCAAAUCUGCAAAACCCUCAAAUGGUCACAUUCCCUGGCAUUGCUGAGGAAUUCAGCCAGACUCCAAGAAAAAGCCUAACCAGUAACCUGGGAUAUCUAAGUCCAUCCUCCCCAGUGGGGAGAUGGGGAGUACAUCCAGACAUGGAGAAUUUCUAGGAGAGCCCCAGAGAAGAAGGAAGGCUCCAGCUUUGCAGAUUGUGGAUAACUGGGGAGAAUAUUUAGAAUAAAGAAUUGAAAGGUAUGAAGGAAGCUUCAUGUUCCCAAGAGAAUGCUUUAGGGAUGUACAGCUUCUGAAGCACACAAAUAAGUCAAGCUCCCCCAGAAACCUUCCAAAUCUGGAAGGGACAGCCCAGGUCUAAAUUGGUGUUCCCUGAGUGGCUGCAGUUCCCUGGAUAUGGAGGGAGGGGAUCUCUGCUGCAGAGUGGGAGAAAUGUCCCUGCUGGUUGCUGGGUCCUUGGUGUGCAGAGAACUUUGAUCUUGACAAGAUGGGUUUGUGAGUAUUGAAUCAACCCUACCUCCUUUUUAAUGAGUUGUUUUAAUUAGUCAUCAGCAGGGACCACUUUUAGUCAGCUUUAGUUAAGUUUCUUUUUCACAGAUUUUUUGUUGUUUUGAUCAUGAAAUCACCAAAACCUUAUGUUUGCUAAAUUAACCCCGAAAAGCUUCAGCACACAAAUCCUGAGGGAACUGGGGAUUGGAUAUCUUGGAUCUUAUGGCCCUUCAAGGCCAUGUUGGGUUUACCCACUGAUUUUGGUUUCAAGGGAAACUCCAACUUAAGAAUAAUCAAAAUACAAAUCAGUUCUCAUGAAACUGAGCCUUCCAACAGUUUAUUUAGGAUAAAAAAAGAUGGGAAGGCCUUUGGCAGAAAAGCACCUGUGAAGCAAAGCAGACUUAAAAUGCCUGUAAGAAGAUUACAGAAAAUCAUCAUGUACAUAUACGUAUAUGUGUAUAUACAUGUAUACACACAUAUAUAGAUAGAUGUGAAGUAGAUAUUUUACAGCAGUUGCAGGUUGUCCUAGGGUAACUUUAUGAUGCCUGUAUCCCCAAUGGUCUGUUCUGUUUGUGCUGUAUAUUGAGUCCUGUGCCUUUAAGACUGGUUCUAAGAGCAAGGAGAAGCGCGGAGUUUGUUUUGAGAAAACUGCCUGACUCCUCCACAUUCUUCUGCGGACCGGGUGUUCGGCGGAGGCUUGGAGAGACUGCAGGACGGAGAUUUUUUUUUCUUUGCUUUUAGUUAGUUUCAGCUAGCUAGGGCAGAGAAUUUCCCUGGACUGUUUUUUUUUCCUUUUUCUUGGAACUGUUUAAACCUGCUCUGGACUGAAAACCCAGGGGAGCACUGGGGGCUGCACCUGCGGCCCACCGGGGCCUGGACCUCGGCAUUUUCCAGCAGCGCCGGAGGGACUGGGACUGAGGAGACGCUGAGAGAGAGCCGAGCUACACCCACGGCAAGGACUUUCUCAGUUUGCCAUCUCACUUCAGAAGGAGAGGUUUUAUUGUUUCAUACUAUUCAUUCUUUAUACUUGUAUGCACUUCAUUUGUUUAGUAAAAUAGUUUUUUCCACUUUUCUCCAAAGAGGGUUUUGGGUUUUU